AAAGAAAAAAAGAAAAAAGGAAAAAGAGAAGAGGGGAAAAAUUCUAGGGUUCGCGCAUUGUGACAAAUCGAUCUCUUCAGACUCUCUCCUUCGCCCCCUUCUCUUCUCACAUACCAUGGUGGCCGGAGAAAUCAAGCCCGACGGCGCAACCAUCGUGAGUCUGAAUGGAAGUGAAGGGGAGUGAAGAAUGGAGUGGAGAUGGAAGAGAUUGAGGAGUAUGCGGUGGUGAAGAACUUCUGAGAUGGGAGAAUGAGAGUGAAGAGCUGAGAAUCGAAGAAUGGUGGAGAGUCAGAAGUGAAGAAGAAGAAUCGAAGAAUCUGACUGAGGAUUAUAUAGAAGUUAAAGGGACUGAUUUAUGUAUUGGUGUAGGAGGUUUGAACUGUUAAUGCAAAGCCUAACUAAGAAAUGGGCUUGUACAUGUUUUCUGUGGCAGGUUGGGUACAAGUUUGCUUGUGGUAUCAAGGUUUGGAGUUAAUGAUAUAUGUGUUCGUAUGGUAUUGGAAGCGAAGAAUACGUGUGGUACCUUGAAGAUUAAAAAUGCUUGAAGAGUUUGAAGAGAUGGAAAGUAGUUGGUGAAUGAAGAUUAAUGGAAUUUGGCCUUUGUAGCAUAAGUUUAAGUUUUUUUUCUUUGUAAUGAAACUGUUGGAUAUUGUCCCUUAAAUGUUAAGAAUUUACUUGGUCUUUAUAUAAAUAACUCUCCUUUUGUACAAAGGUCUUCUAAUUUCGAAUGAAGCUUAUAAUGUCCCCUUUCAAUUAUACUUGGUCUUUGUACCUUGAGCUUUGUAAUGAGUACUCCUUGAAAUUGUAGUAACAUUUGAAUU